rnacentral:rRNA from 1 species
UACGUAGGGAGCAAGCGUUGUUCGGAUUCACUGGGCGUAAAGGGUGCGUAGGUGGUUGGGUAAGUCUGAUGUGAAAUCUCUGAGCUUAACUCAGAAACUGCAUUGGAUACUAUCCGGCUGGAGGAGUGGAGGGGGGACUGGAAUACUUGGUGUAGCAGUGAAAUGCGUAGAUAUCAAGUGGAACACCAGUGGCGAAGGCGAGUCCCUGGACACUUCCUGACACUGAGGCACGAAAGCUAGGGGAGCAAACAGG